AUUGAACGCUGGCGGCAGGCUUAACACAUGCAAGUCGAGCGAGCGGCGGACGGGUGAGUAAUGUCUGGGAAACUGCCUGAUGGAGGGGGAUAACUACUGGAAACGGUAGCUAAUACAGCAUACCAUCAGAUGUGCCAAGAUGGGAUUAGCUAGUAGGUGGGGUAAUGGAUAACCUAGGUGACGAUCCCUAGCUGGUCUGAGAGGAUGACCAGCCAAACUGUAACUGAGACACGGGCCAGACUCCUACGGGAGUAAUGAGGGGGGAAUAUUGCACAAUGGGCGCAAGCCGGAUGCAGCCCUGCCGCGUGUGUGAAGAAGGCCUUCGGGUUGUAUAGCACUUUCAGCGAGGAGGCGUUACUCGCAGAAGAAGCACCGGCUAACUCCGUGCCAGCCGCCGCGGUAAUUC
rnacentral:rRNA from 1 species